rnacentral:rRNA from 1 species
UACAGAGGUCUCAAGCGUUGUUCGGAUUCAUUGGGCGUAAAGGGUGCGUAGGCGGCGCGGUAAGUCGGGUGUGAAAUUCGCGGAGCUUAACUCCGAAACUGCAUUCGAUACUGCCGUGCUUGAGGACUGGAGAGGAGACUGGAAUUUACGGUGUAGCGGUGAAAUGCGUAGAUAUCGUAAGGAAGACCAGUGGCGAAGGCGGGUCUCUGGACAGUUCCUGACGCUGAGGCACGAAGGCCAGGGGAGCAAACGGG